UGGGGAAUAUUGGACAAUGGGCGCAAGCCUGAUCCAGCAAUGCCGCGUGAGUGAUGAAGGCCUUAGGGUUGUAAAGCUCUUUUACCAGGGAUGAUAAUGACAGUACCUGGAGAAUAAGCUCCGGCUAACUCCGUGCCAGCAGCCGCGGUAAUACGGAGGGAGCUAGCGUUGUUCGGAAAUACUGGGCGUAAAGCGAACGUAGGCGGUCUAGCAAGUCAGGGGUGAAAUCCCGGAGCUUAACUCCGGAACUGCCCUUGAAACUGCUAAACUAGAAUCCUGGAGAGGUCAGUGGAAUUCCGAGUGUAGAGGUGAAAUUCGUAGAUAUUCGGAAGAACACCAGUGGCGAAGGCGACUGACUGGACAGGUAUUGACGCUGAGGUUCGAAAGCGUGGGGAGCAAACAGGAUUAGAUACCCCCGUAGUCC
rnacentral:rRNA from 1 species